AAGCAGCAGCAGCAAGCAGCAGCGAAGCGGCAGCAAAGCAAAAGCAGCAAGCAGAGAGAGGGACAGAGACAGAGGGAAAGAGAGCCAAAAUCCGACGAUUGACGAAAAGGGUCGAACGGCAAACGCGAAGAAAGUUAGGAGAUAACAAACAGAGGAAUCGCGAGAAAAACCAAAGAACACUUAAGAGCAAAACAAAAAUCGAAUUUUCAUGUUUAAAUCGCAAAACCAAAAUUAUCGAUAAAGAAAUUAAAGGAAAACCAAAGAGAGAAAAACCAAAUAUAAAGUAAAUUGCUACCAGUAAACGCUAGUCCAAAUCUUCACUAUAUAAAUAUAUGUAUACUAUAUAUAUUUAACUAAUAAUACUUCAAAGAGAACACGCCAAUUGCCGCAACUUUACUCCAACCCGUAAAAGUAAAAAGAAAUAAUUUCCAUUAAACAAACGCUAAAUACCAAAUACCUAACACAGCUUCGAAGUGUGCACAAUAACAACGUAAAAAGUUAUUAACCAAAACCAAAGAAAGA